UAACUUGAGAGUUUGAUCCUGGCUCAGAACGAACGCUGGCGGCACGCUUAACACAUGCAAGUCGAACGAAAUUAUGGGGCUUGCUCCAUAAUUUAGUGGCGCACGGGUGAGUAACACGUAGAUACCUGCCCAUUGAUGGUGGAUAACUCCGGGAAACUGGAGCUAAUACAGCAUGAGCUCGAGAGAGGAAAGGCCGCAAGGCCGUCAAUGGAGGGGUCUGCGCCUGAUUAGGUAGUUGGUGAGGUAACGGCCCACCAAGCCGAUGAUCAGUAGCUGGUCUGAGAGGAUGGUCAGCCACACUGGAACUGAGAUACGGUCCAGACUCCUACGGGAGGCAGCAGUGGGGAAUAUUGGACAAUGGGGGAAACCCUGAUCCAGCGAUGCCGCGUGAGUGAUGAAGGCCCUAGGGUUGUAAAGCUCUUUUGACGGGGACGAUGAUGACGGUACCCGUAGAAUAAGCACCGGCUAACUCUGUGCCAGCAGCCGCGGUAAUACAGAGGGUGCUAGCGUUGUUCGGAAUUACUGGGCGUAAAGGGCGUGUAGGCGGUUAUGUAAGUCAGAUGUUAAAGACCUGGGCUUAACCUAGGGAGUGCGUUUGAUACUGCGUGACUAGAGGACAGGAUGGGAGAAUGGAAUUUCCGGUGUAGAGGUAAAAUUCGUAGAUAUCGGAAAGAACACCAGUGGCGAAGGCGAUUCUCUGGACUGUUACUGACGCUGAGGCGCGAAAGCGUGGGGAGCAAACAGGAUUAGAUACCCUGGUAGUCCACGCCUUAAACGAUGGAAGCUAGGCGUCGGGAUUUCGGUCUCGGUGCCGCAGCUAACGCAUUAAGCUUCCCGCCUGGGGAGUACGGUCGCAAGAUUAAAACUCAAAGGAAUUGACGGGGACCCGCACAAGCGGUGGAGCAUGUGGUUUAAUUCGAAACUACGCGAAGAACCUUACCCGCUUUUGACAUAGGGAUCGAGGG
rnacentral:rRNA from 1 species